rnacentral:rRNA from 1 species
AUUGAACGCUGGCGGAAUGCUUUACACAUGCAAGUCGAACGGCAGCACGGGGGCAACCCUGGUGGCGAGUGGCGAACGGGUGAGUAACGCAUCGGAAUGUACCCAGUAGUGGGGGAUAACUAGUCGAAAGAUUAGCUAGUACCGCAUACGCACUGAGGUGGAAAGCGGGGGAUCGCAAGACCUCGCGCUAUUGGAGCAGCCGAUGUCCGAUUAGGUAGUUGGUGGGGUAAAGGCCUACCAAGCCUGCGAUCGGUAACUGGUCUGAGAGGACGACCAGUCACACUGGGACUGAGACACGGCCCAGAUUCCUACGGGAGGCAGCAGUGGGGAAUUUUGGACAAUGGGCGCAAGCCUGAUCCAGCCAUGCCGCGUGAGUGAAGAAGGCCUUCGGGU